GGGGCAGCGGGGAUAAGCUUGCUUACCCGCCGGCGACCGGCGCACGGGUGCGCAACGCGUAUAGAAUCUGCCCUGUACUGGGGAAUAGCCCAGAGAAAUUUGGAUUAAUGCCCCAUGGUAUGUUUAAGCGGCAUCGCUUUUACAUUAAAGGCUACGGUACAGGAUGACUAUGCGUCCCAUUAGUUAGUUGGUAAGGUAACGGCUUACCAAGGCAGCGAUGGGUAGGGGCCCUGAGAGGGGGAUCCCCCACACUGGUACUGAGACACGGACCAGACUCCUACGGGAGGCAGCAGUGAGGAAUAUUGGACAAUGGGCGGGAGCCUGAUCCAGCCAUGCCGCGUGCAGGAAGACGGUCCUAUGGAUUGCAAACUGCUUUUGUACGGGAAGAACAAGGGGCACGUGUGCCCUUCUGACGGUACCGUAAGAAUAAGGAUCGGCUAACUCCGUGCCAGCAGCCGCGGUAAUACGGAGGAUCCGAGCGUUAUCCGGAAUCAUUGGGUUUAAAGGGUCCGUAGGCGGGCCAUUAAGUCAGGGGUGAAAGUCUGCGGCUCAACCGUAGAAUUGCCCUUGAUACUGGUGGUCUUGAGUUAUGGUGAAGUAACUAGAAUAUGUAGUGUAGCGGUGAAAUGCAUAGAUAUUACAUAGAAUACCGAUUGCGAAGGCAGGUUACUAACCAUAUACUGACGCUGAUGGACGAAAGCGUGGGGAGCGAACAGGAUUAGAUACCCUGGUAGUCCACGCCGUAAACGAUGGAUACUAGCUGUCCGGAUGCAAAUCUGGGCGGCCAAGCGAAAGUGAUAAGUAUCCCACCUG
rnacentral:rRNA from 1 species